CCUUUUAUUUUUAUGCUUCAGCCAAUAUUUUAAUGUUCUGAAAUAGAAUACAGCUGUGAUGCAGAGGCUUUACUGUUCAAGACAUUUAAAAUUAUAAAUUGUGGGGCUCAAGACAACAUGUAUUGUAGAUACAAUUAAUACAAAACUUAGCCACCAAGAUAUCUUCUUUAUAUUUCCCCUCUCCCCAGCCAUUUUUUUCAUUUGCAUUCUUCUCUUUCGUUUCAUUUUUUCCUGCAGCUUCUUCUCUUUGUUUCCUCUUUUUUCUUCAUCACCUUUUUCUUUCUUAUUUUCGGUAGCUUCUGGCUUUUGUUCUUGCCUCUCCUUUUUUCUUCAUCAACUUCUUUUUUUCUUCAUCAGCUUCUUGCUUCAAUGUCUGCACCUUCUUUUCAUCAGCUUCUGCACCUUCAUUAAAAUAUUUAAUGAUGCAAAUUCAAGGCAGCUUCUUGCUUUUUUCUCUAAUAUUCUUGCUUUCAAUUUUUAUAUUUUUUCAUUUCUACAUAAGCUUGCAUAAAUUUCUGCAUUUGUUACCUUUCUGCAUCUAUGCUUUUCUUUCUCACAGCUUCUUACAUCAUUUUCUUUCUUUUUUAUAUCUUUAGCUUUUUUCUUCCUAUUUGAUGUGUCUUUUUAUGUUUUACUACUUCUUUAGAUUCAUUCUUUUAUUUCUUUUUUAUAUCUUCAACUUUUUUUCUUCUUCUUAUUUUAUGUGUUUCUUUCUAUUUUACUACAUAUUUACAUUGCUUUUUCCUAUUUUCUGCACUUCUAAGCAAAAUAUUAUUAUAAUCUAAUACAGACAUUUAUUAAUCUCAUAAAUGUGAUAAUGAUGAAAGGGCAAAACAUUAUCACUAUUCUUCCUUAUAUUUUUAUAAAGGCCAUUUGUUUUUUAUAUUUUGUAGCACAAGUUGUAUAUAUUAGUCCAAAGUCAAAUGAAAAUAGAACUUCUCUUAUUUUCGUAAGAGAAAUUAUAUACUAUAUUCACCAUUCUCCUACUCAUUUAUGAAGAUGGUAAGGAGGAGAGAAAUUUUAUAUCAUGUUAUUUACCAUUACUCUUAUCUUUUUGCCACAAAUGAAUAACAAGUAGAAUAUAUAAUUGCUCCUGAUGCUUCUUCUAUUUUAUGCAGGCAGCACAUAAAAGUGCCAAAAUGGAUGCAACAAGAUGAAAACAAGAAAUGAUUUUUUAUUUUUUCGAUUCCAUUUAUUUUGCUUAUUAAAUAUACCCACGCGAAGCAUGGACCAUAUUGACUCAAGAAUUCUGAAUAUCUUUUUUUACACAUUGCCAUAUUGACUCAAGAAUUGUGAAAAUAGUGUCAAAUAGCCAAGUUAGAUAAACUAUUUUAAAUCACAAAAAAUUUGAUCUAAAUUUUUAAGAUAGUGAUGAUAC
rnacentral:lncRNA from 1 species